rnacentral:rRNA from 1 species
CCUACGGGCGGCAGCAGUGGGGAAUAUUGCACAAUGGGGGAAACCCUGAUGCAGCGACGCCGCGUGAAGGAAGAAGUAUUUCGGUAUGUAAACUUCUAUCAGCAGGGAAGAAAAUGACGGUACCUGACUAAGAAGCCCCGGCUAACUACGUGCCAGCAGCCGCGGUAAUACGUAGGGGGCAAGCGUUAUCCGGAUUUACUGGGUGUAAAGGGAGCGUAGGCGGUGCAGCAAGUCAGAAGUGAAAGCCCGGGGCUCAACUCCGGGACUGCUUUUGAAACUGUUUAACUAGAGUGCAGGAGAGGUAAGUGGAAUUCCUAGUGUAGCGGUGAAAUGCGUAGAUAUUAGGAGGAACACCAGUGGCGAAGGCGGCUUACUGGACUGUAAAUGACGCUGAGGCUCGAAAGCGUGGGGAGCAAACAGGAUUAGAUACCCCUGUAGUC